CAAUGAACUGCUUAUCUCCAAAUUGUGUGAGGUCAUUUCAGCUCCUUUCACUGUGAAUGAUAGGGCUGUCACCAGUUGUGCUGCUCUAUUCAGUUGGUGCAAUCUAUAGACUUGAAAGAUUAUUGGGAUGACAGGCCAUGAAGGUGAAUUCCGAUAUUUGGCAUAUUGCUCAAAUGCAAACUGAACAAUAAUACCAACAAGGUAUGGAGCAAGGGUUGCAGAAGCUGCAGGGCCGGUCCAUGGCCAUACCAAGCCCAUAGUCACCAUAGGAAUUAUAAGACUGAGUACCAAGGUAGCAACAGAAGAAAUUCGCUGUCCCAAAUGGGGGACCAGGGUUGUGCCACCAUUUUCAGCACAUUCCAGUUCCAUGGGCCUCCUUAAAUGGUCUAUGAGCAAAAGAAAAACCACAACACCACAGUAGAAAAG
rnacentral:misc_RNA from 1 species